rnacentral:rRNA from 1 species
ACUCAAAGGAAUAGACGGGGGCUCGCACAAGCGGUGGAACAUGUGGUUUAAUUCGACACUACGCGAGGAACCUUACCUAGGUUUGACAUGUAUAUGACCGCUGUAGAAAUACAGUUUUCCAGGCUUCGGUUUGGACAUUUACACAGGUGCUGCAUGGCUGUCGUCAGCUCGUGUCGUGAGAUGUUGGGUUAAGUCCUCUAACGAGCGCAACCCCUUCUGCCAGUUGCAACUGCGAAAGCAAGGCACUCUGGUGGGACUGCCUGGGAAACCAGGAGGAAGGUGGGGACGACGUCAAGUCAUCAUGGUCCUUAUGCCUAGGGCUACACACGUGUUACAAUGGCUAGUACAAAGAGCUGCAAGCUUGUAAAAGUGAGCUAAUCUCAAAAAGCUAGUCUAAGUUCGGAUUGAGGUCUGCAACUCGACCUCAUGAAGUUGAAAUCGCUAGUAAUCGCAUAUCAGAAUGAUGCGGUGAAUACGUUCUCGAGCCUUGUACACACCGCCCGU